rnacentral:rRNA from 1 species
GACGAACGCUGGCGGCGUGCCUAAUACAUGCAAGUUGAGCGCUGAAGGUUGGUACUUGUACCCACUGGAUGAGCAGCGCACGGGUGAGUAACGCGUGGGGAAUCUGCCUUUGAGCGGGGGACAACAUUUGGAAACGAAUGCUAAUACCGCAUAAAAACUUUAAACACAAGUUUUAAGUUUGAAAGAUGCAAUUGCAUCACUCAAAGAUGAUCCCGCGUUGUAUUAGCUAGUUGGUGAGGUAAAGGCUCACCAAGGCGAUGAUACAUAGCCGACCUGAGAGGGUGAUCGGCCACAUUGGGACUGAGACACGGCCCAAACUCCUACGGGAGGCAGCAGUAGGGAAUCUUCGGCAAUAGACGAAAGUCUGACCGAGCAACGCCGCGUGAGUGAAGAAGGUUUUCGGAUCGUAAAACUCUGUUGGUAGAGAAGAACGUUGGUGAGAGUGGAAAGCUCAUCAAGUGACGGUAACUACCCAGAAAGGGACGGCUAACUACGUG